rnacentral:rRNA from 1 species
ACGCUCGACACCUACGGGUGGCAGCAGUGGGGAAUAUUGCACAAUGGGGGAAACCCUGAUGCAGCGACGCCGCGUGGAGGAAGAAGGUCUUCGGAUUGUAAACUCCUGUUGUUGGGGAAAAAGAGGAUGGUACCCAACAAGGAAGUGACGGCUAACUACGUGCCAACAGCCGCCGGUAAUCUGAGCGGGCUGGCAAGGC